rnacentral:rRNA from 1 species
UCCGACCUCAGAUCGGACGAGAUUACCCGCUGAAUUUAAGCAUAUAACUAAGCGGAGGAAAAGAAACUAACAAGGAUUUCCCUAGUAACGGCGAGUGAAGCGGGAAGAGCCCAGCACCGAAUCCCUCAGUGUCACGCUGACGGGAACUGUGGUGUGUGGGACGCCACCAGCUGCAACAGAGGGCGCCGAAGUCCUCCUGAUCGGGGCUUCACCCAGAGCGGGUGUAAGGCCUUUGCAGGUGCCUCUCUGUGCGGCCGCGAGCGUCUCAGGAGUCGGGUUGUUUGGGAAUGCAGCCCAAAGCGGGUGGUAAACUCCAUCUAAGCUAAAUACUUGCACGAGU